UGCAAGUCGAACGCAGUAGCAAUACUGAGUGGCAGACGGGUGAGUAUAAUGUGGGAAUCUGCCUUUUGGUUUGGAAUAACUCGGGGAAACUUGAGCUAAUACCGGAUAAGCCCUUACGGGGAAAGAUUUAUCGCCGAAAGAUGAGCCCGCACUUGAUUAGCUUGUUGGUGAGGUAAAAGCUCACCAAGGCAACAAUCAAUAGCUGUUCUUAGAGGAAGACCAGCCACAUUGGGACUGAGACACGGCCCAGACUCCUACGGGAGGCAGCAGUGGGGAAUCUUGCACAAUGGGGGAAACCCUGAUGCAGCGAUGCCGCGUGAGUGAAGAAGGCCUUUGGGUUGUAAAACUCUUUCGUCGGGGAAGAAAAUGACUGUACCCGAAUAAGAAGGUCCGGCUAACUUCGUGCCAGCAGCCGCGGUAAUACGAAGGGACCUAGCGUAGUUCGGAAUUACUGGGCUUAAAGAGCUCGUAGGUGGUUAAAAAAGUUGGUGGUGAAAUCCCAAGGCUUAACCUUGGAACUGCCAUCAAAACUUUUUAGCUAGAGUGUGAUAGAGGAAAGUGGAAUUUCUAGUGUAGAGGUGAAAUUCGUAGAUAUUAGAAAGAACACCAAAUGCGAAGGCAACUUUCUGGAUCACUACUGACACUGAGGAGCGAAAGCAUGGGUAGCGAAGAGGAUUAGAUACCCUCGUAGUCCAUGCUGUAAACGAUGUGUGCUAGACGUUGGAAAUUUUAUUUUCAGUGUCGCAGCAAAAGCGUUAAGCACACCGCCUGGGGAGUACGACCGCAAGGUUAAAACUCAAAUGAAUUGACGGGGACCCGCACAAGCAGUGGAGCAUGUGGUUUAAUUCGAAGAUACGCGCAGAACCUUACCAACACUUGACAUGUCCGUCGCGACUCGUAGAGAUAUGA
rnacentral:rRNA from 1 species